rnacentral:rRNA from 1 species
GACGAACGCUGGCGGCGUGCUUAACACAUGCAAGUCGAACGGUAAGGCCCUUCGGGGUACACGAGUGGCGAACGGGUGAGUAACACGUGGGUGAUCUGCCCUGCACUUCGGGAUAAGCCUGGGAAACUGGGUCUAAUACCGGAUAGGACCACUGCCUGCAUGGGUGGUGGUGGAAAGCUUUUGCGGUGUGGGAUGGGCCCGCGGCCUAUCAGCUUGUUGGUGGGGUGAUGGCCUACCAAGGCGACGACGGGUAGCCGGCCUGAGAGGGUGACCGGCCACACUGGGACUGAGAUACGGGCCAGACUCCUACGGGUGGCAGCAGUGGGGAAUAUUGCACAAUGGGCGCAAGCCUGGUGCAGCGACGCCGCGUGAGGGAUGACGGCCUUCGGGUUGUAAACCUCUUUCAGCACCGACGAAGCGCAAGUGACGGUAGGUGCGGAAGAAGGACCGGCCAACUACGUGCCAGCCGCCGCGGUAA